rnacentral:misc_RNA from 1 species
AUUGACUCCUCAUAAAUUUAAGUAUUGACUCCGGAAAUUAAUUGACAGAGCAAAUUAUUAUGUGCUUAUAGUGCAUGGAGUAAAUCUUAUUUUUCUAAAUUUAAGACUUAACUGCUUUUAUAUGAAUAUUAAAUGCAUUAUUUUUUAGUACAACGAAUAUAUUAUAUAAUUUACUUAUAUAUUGACCACAAGAAAUUUUUUUUCCAGAUCCACCACUAUUUAUAUGGGACAAGAAAAUUUACAAAUGUAGAGAGUAAUAUUCUAGCUUAAUCAGAU